rnacentral:rRNA from 1 species
AUUGAACGCUGGCGGCAUGCCUUACACAUGCAAGUCGAACGGCAGCACGGGAGCAAUCCUGGUGGCGAGUGGCGAACGGGUGAGUAAAGUAUCGGAACGUGCCCAGUCGUGGGGGAUAACGUAGCGAAAGUUACGCUAAUACCGCAUACGAUCUAUGGAUGAAAGCGGGGGAUCGCAAGACAUCGCGCGAUUGGAGCGGCCGAUAUCAGAUUAGGUAGUUGGUGGGGUAAAGGCUCACCAAGCCGACGAUCUGUAGCUGGUCUGAGAGGACGACCAGACACACUGGGACUGAGCACCGGCCCAGACUCCUACGGGAGGCAGCAGUGGGGAAUUUUGGACAAUGGGCGAAAGCCUGAUCCAGCCAUGCCGCGUGCAGGAUGAAGGCCUUCGGGUUGUAAACUGCUUUUGUACGGAACGAAAAGGUUUGGCCUAAUAAGCUGAGCUCAUGACGGUACCGUAAGAAUAAGCACCGGCUAACUACGUGCCAGCAGCCGCCGUAA